GGCAACUUGGCCGAGCGGUCUAAGGCGCCAGAAUCAGGAUCUGGUCUUUCGGGGCGUGAGUUCGAAUCUCACAGUUGUCA
rfam:Cylindrobasidium torrendii FP15055 ss-10 unplaced genomic scaffold CYLTOscaffold_18, whole genome shotgun sequence.